rnacentral:rRNA from 1 species
UACGUAGGUGGCAAGCGUUUAUCCGGAAUUAUUGGGCGUAAAGCGCGCGCAGGUGGUUUCUUAAGUCUGAUGUGAAAGCCCACGGCUCAACCGUGGAGGGUCUUGGAAACUGGGAGACUUGAGUGCAGAAGAGGAAAGUGGAAUUCCAUGUGUAGCGGUGAAAUGCGUAGAAGAUAUGGAGGAACACCAGUGGCGAAAGGCGACUUUCUGGUCUGUAAACUGACACUG